CAUUAAAUCUCUUUUUCUUUAUAAAUUACCCAGUCUCAGGUAUAUCUUUAUCAGCAGCAUGAAAACAGACUAAUAUACCCCCUUACCCUGCUGUACUUUUUCCCCACAGCAAUUAUCACCUCCUGACAUGUCGUAUAAUCGACUUAUAUUUGCUGUCUAUCUCCCUCUGGUGGUGUGUAAACUCUGUCAGCAUAGGGAUUUUUCUCUGUUCUAUUCACUGCUGUAUUCACUUACAGAAUUGCUUUUCACUGGGCUGGCUCCCAGUGUCAGUUCAAAUGUAAGUCUUCCCUGACUACCCCUUAUAACACAGUAACUUUCUAUCUGUUCACCCUAUUUUAAUGUAUCUAUCUUAUUUGCUAUUUGUUUACUGUCUAAUGUAUUUUUUUGUUUGUUUUGAGACAGGGUCUCUGUCACCCAGGCUGGAAUGCAGUAAUGUAAUCAUGGCUAACUGCAGCCUCCACUUCCCAGGCUCAAAUUAUCCUCCCACCUCAGCCUCCCAAGUAGCCGGGUCUACAGGCAUGACACACCAAGCCUGGGCUGUCUAGUGUCUUAUCUCACUGUUCCCACCCCUCAUGAAGACAGGGGCUUUGCCUGCUUUGUUCACUGCUGUAUCCCCAAUACUGGCACAUAGUACAUCCUCAAGAUGGGGUUUUGCCAUGUUGGCCAGGCUGGUCUUGAACUCCUGACCUCAAGUGACCCGCCUGCUUUGGACUGCCAAAGUGCUGGGAUUACAGGCGUGAGACACCAUGCUCAGAGGGAACUGUAAAUUAAAACAACAAUGAGUUGAGGCACCCGGCCUUCAGCUGUCACGUUAUGAGGACACUCAAGCAGCCCUAUGAAGAGGUCUAAGAGGAACGAGGCCUUCUGCAAACAGCUAGCACCAACUUGCCAGCCACGUUCUAGUGAUCUAGUAUACAGCGUGGUGGUGGUUAAUAACAUAUAUUUCAGAAAAGCUAAAAGAACAGAUCUUAAAUGUUCUUAUCACAAAGAAACAGUAAGUAUAUGAAGUGAUAAGUAUGUGAAUUAGCCUGAUUUGAUCAUUCCAUAAUGUAUAUAUGUACUGAAACAUCAUGUCCUGCCCCAUAGAUAUAAACAAUUAUUAUUUGCCAGUUAAAAAUAAAACUCAAUGGCUACGCAUA